rnacentral:rRNA from 1 species
CGUAGGGUGCGAGCGUUGCCCGGAUUUAUUGGGCGUAAAGGGCGCGUAGGCGGCUCAGCACGUCCGUUGUGAAAUCGCCCGGCUCAACUGGGCGGGGUCAGCGGAUACGGUCGAGCUUGAGCAAGCUAGGGGGUAAUGGAAUUCCCGGUGUAGUGGUGGAAUGCGUAGAUAUCGGGAGGAACACCAGUGGCGAAGGCGGUUACCUGGGGCUUUGCUGACGCUGAUGCGCGAAAGCGUGGGGAGCGAUCCGGAUUAGAUACCCGGGUAGUCCACGCCGUAAACGAUGCGGACUAGGUGUCGGGGGUAUCGACCCCCUCGGCGCCGCAGCUAACGCAUUAAGUCCGCCGCCUGGGGACUACGGCCGCAAGGCUA